rnacentral:rRNA from 1 species
CCAGCCCGCUCAGAAACUCAAAUGAAUUGACGGGGCCCGCACAAGCGGUGGAGUAUGUGGUUUAAUUCGAUGCAACGCGAAGAACCUUACCUGGUCUUGACAUCCCGGAGACCCUUAGGAAACUAGGGGUGCUUCCAUCUGGAAGAAUCUGGAGACAGGUGCUGCAUGGCUGUCGUCAGCUCGUGUCGUGAGAUGUUGGGUUAAGUCCCGCAACGAGCGCAACCCUUGCCUUUAGUUGCCAGCAGUUCGGCUGGGCACUCUAAAGGGACUGCCGGUGUUAAACCGGAGGAAGGUGGGGAUGACGUCAAGUCCUCAUGGCCUUUAUGACCAGGGCUACACACGUACUACAAUGGCCGAUACAAAGGGCAGCGACACUGCGAGGUGAAGCCAAUCCCGUAAAAUCGGUCUCAGUCCGGAUUGGAGUCUGCAACUCGACUCCAUGAAGUUGGAAUCGCUAGUAAUCGUGGAUCAGCAUGCCACGGUGAAUACGUUCCCGGGCCUU